GUGCACUGCCACAUGCAGAGCCUAUGUGUGUC
rnacentral:piRNA from 1 species